rnacentral:rRNA from 1 species
ACUGGGCGUAAAGGGCUCGUAGGUGGUUUGUCGCGUCGUCUGUGAAAUUCCGGGGCUUAACUCCGGGCGUGCAGGCGAUACGGGCAUAACUUGAGUACUGUAGGGGUAACUGGAAUUCCUGGUGUAGCGGUGAAAUGCGCAGAUAUCAGGAGGAACACCGAUGGCGAAGGCAGGUUACUGGGCAGUUACUGACGCUGAGGAGCGAAAGCAUGGGUAGCGAACAGGAUUAGAUACCCUGGUAGUCCAUGCCGUAAACGGUGGGCGCUAGGUGUGAGGGUCUUUUCACGACUUUCGUGCCGUAGCUAACGCAUUAAGCGCCCCGCCUGGGGAGUACGGCCGCAAGGCUAAAACUCAAAGGAAUUGACGGGGGCCCGCACAAGCGGCGGAGCAUGUGGAUUAAUUCGAUGCAACGCGAAGAACCUUACCUGGGCUUGACAUACACCAGAUCGCUGCAGAGAUGUAGUUUCCCUUUGUGGCUGGUGUACAGGUGGUGCAUGGUUGUCGUCAGCUCGUGUCGUGAGAUGUUGGGUUAAGUCCCGCAACGAGCGCAACCCUUGUCUUAUGUUGCCGGCAUUUGGUUGGGGACUCAUGAGAGACUGCCGGGGUCAACUCGGAGGAAGGUGGGGAUGACGUCAAAUCAUCAUGCCCCUUAUGUCCAGGGCUUCACACAUGCUACAAUGGUCGGUACAACGCGCAGCGACACUGUGAGGUGGAGCGAAUCGCUGAAAGCCGGCCUUAGUUCGGAUUGGGGUCUGCAACUCGACCCCAUGAAGUCGGAGUCGCUAGUAAUCGCAGAUCAGCAAUGCUGCGGUGAAUA